CCAUGGCUGGAAGAAGCUCAUACAGCUUAAGACGAUGUGAUGUAUGUAGCCUUUUGAGUAGCAACCCCCCCCCCCCCGGUCUUGGCUUGGGGGUGCUGACAUGGAAAGAGUUAAAGCUAGUGCGUGGCUAGGAAACCUCUGAGAGGUAAGCCCGCAGGGGCAGGGGCCUCUGAGUCCCGGGGGGAAAGGGCUCUUGGUGGGGAAAAGGGCUGACAAGUGUGGCCAAAGAAGCCCAGUGUGGGCCCAACUUCUUUUUUUUUUUUUUUUUUUUUUUGCCUUGUUUGACCAGCCUUGGCACUGCCCUCUGGCUCUCCAGGGGAAAAGCUGCAGUUCUGCUCUUGCAACACAAGGAGCAGACUGGAGAAUUUAGAUCUGCGUCACAGAGCUCAGAGAGAGAGAGAGAGAGAGGGAGAGAGAGAGAGAGCUGGAGAGCUCAGAGAGAGAGAGAGUGAGAGCAAGCGAGCGAGCGAGCUCCGUCGAUAGGUCUGCUAGCAACAGCCCUGCUGCUGCAGAGAGAGAGAGAGAGAGAGAGAGAGAGAGAGAGAGAGAGAGAGCAAGAAACAAGUCAUAGCAACACUGGGCACCGGGUUCUGCCAACUCACUUACCAAGCGUUCAGAAAUCUGUCCGGGGCCAGAGGCCUCUAGGUAGCCUAGGCUAAGGAGAUGACAUGCAAGGUGGCACGGGCGGUUCCUGUGGGGAGGGGGGUGGAGGGGGUAGGGGUGGGAACAAGAGGUUGUGGGGUGAUAGCGGAAGGCGUAACGGGACCGGAUUCUAGAACAUUCGGGACUGCAGCACCGAAAGGCUGGACGGUGAUUUGGGUUCUGCGCAGGCGACGAUGGGUGGUCCGAUGGGCUUCAGGACUUGAUGGCGUAACCCACUUCUUCACCCACGUACGUAUUUGCUGGGAUCGGGGCGCUGUCUCUGCGUAUGUGGGUGCUCUGUCUCUCGUACCUUCUUUCUGGCUUUUGCUCUUUUAUUUAUUUUUUCCCCCUUAAAGGGAAGGUUGUUCCCCCCCCCCACUUUAAUUUCUUUUCCCUUAGUGUCAGCUGCUCAAGCCUGACCAGGAGAGAAGAGUGAACCGGUCCCCAGCUUCCUUAUUUGACCUCUCAGCCUUUACCCUAUUUUCUUCUAGUGGACAGAUAGACUGGUUUUCCAGGUUGUUUGGGUGUCAGCGUCCAUCUGUCUGUGCAGGUCUGUACGUGGAAGGAAGGGAGUGAGAGGUACCAAGAGGAAGGCAAGAAGGACAGGGUUUCCAGGGGGUUCACUUAUUGAGAUACCUAGCUCCCGAGGGGCUGGGGCUGGUGGGGAGUAGGGCCUGGGUGAGGUGUAGGCUGGGAGAAAUGGGGUAAGGCUGGUAGGUUUGUCACUGCGUAGUUGGGGAAGCAAAGUGGGGAAUGGUGACGCAGUCACUGUUACAUCUUGUUAGUAGCUCUGUGGGAACAGGUAGUGGGGAUCUUGGGGGUCUGUGGGGCCAGCUGAGAGGGGUUCAGGAUGAAGCUAGCAUUUACAGAUUAAAUGUCAUCCUUUUGGCGUUGGAAAGUUGUUUACCUUGCGCUCUCUGUGUCUCCAUGUUGGCUCCCUUCCAGUUCACAUGUGAUGGCCUUCCCUGUACUGCUGCAUCAUUAACUAAGUGACUGAGCUGGCCUUCCAUUGGCCAGGGGAGGGCUCUCACUCCAGACACUUCCUCUGAUUGGUUGGAGGGCCAGUGGCAGGUGAAAAGCUUUUUUUCAUUGGCUGAGGAUAGGGUAUCAAAUCUGAAUUUGCAUUUCACUUGCUUAAAGGGAGGGGGGAGAAGCCCAGCAGCUUUCUAAAAUCUCUUUAGGGGUGUGCGUAGGCUCUUGUGUCUGCCUGCUUUUGACUGCCCAGUCAAAGCUUCUUUUUUAUGCCUUCUUUAAUUGUAGGCACUAUAAGAAAGAAGAGCUCAGGGCUCCCCAAACUUUUUUCCUUUUUUUUUUUUUUUUUUUUUUAAAGCGAGGAAGGUUUCGGAGAUGAGUGCGCAAGCAGUUGACAAAAUAUUUGUCUCUAGCUUUGGUGUCAGGAAAAGGGAAAUUUCCAAUCAGACACACCUCAGUGUUGCGGCAAAAAUAAUUUCUUGGCUCCCCUGGAAACGCCUGGGCAAGGUAGGGCAGAACUGCUAUUGCUGUUGCCACCACCCCGGGCUUCCUGCUGACUCUGGGCUACUCCCCGGGGACCUGAGAUUUGCAUUGACGUCUGGGGCAGUCCAGAGAUCAUCAAGGGGCUGCCCAGAGGUCCUCGAGAGCCAGUCAGGAGCUGUGCCCACUAUGGGAAGGAUCUGCCUUUCGGAAGCUGCCACCGCCUGGUGCGUGGAAAGGGUGAAAUUCCUCCCCUUUAGCUUCAUGCCCAGGGCUGUGUGCAGCUGGCCUUAGCUUUCCUGCGCAGACUGGCUUCUCUCCGUUUCCCUAGGUGGACCUCGUAUUCCAGCAAAAACCAGGUGACUCACGUUUUCUUGCUUUUCUUCUCUCGCUGUUUUUACUCGUGGUAUUUCCUGUGUCUCCUCUCCACUACAUCCACCUGUGGCAUUCCCGCCGGCAGGACGGACCUCUCCUGGCAGGCGACGAGAAGCAGUCUCCGUAAUUACCCCUGCCGCUUGGGCAGACCCCAGACUCUUUGCUUCUCUUGUAUGAUACUUGAGUUUGGGUUCUUUCGGAGAAAUCUUUAGAAUCUGCGCUUCAAGAGGAAGGCUAGAGAAACGAGGAGGAAGACUUACCUUACUUGGGACCUUCUGUCUAUCAGAUACCACAUUAGGCUCUUAGCAGGGCAAUUAGUUCAUUUAUUCUAUUUUAUUAUUAUUAUUAUUUUACUAUCACCUUGUGAGGUACGUGGCUAGCAAGUGCUUUAACUGGUCACGGGCAGAGCCCUGGCCUUCCGAAGCCUUUGCAUUUUUCCUGUCUGAAUCCUUAGUGUUUGCAAGAUGCCUAUGAGGAGGUGGAUCCCCAAAAUGUGACUAUUUAAGGAAUGUUGUCUCUUGUGGGAAUUUGGGUGGCCGAUCUUCUUGCGCCCGUGAUCUGGGUCACUUAGCUGUUUCAUUUCUACUUUAUUAACUUUCUCCUUUCCCUUCGUGGCCAGGUUCACUCAAGAUGUAGUUGAAACGACUGGAUUAACAAACCUAGGUUGUUGUCCUGGCUGCCUUCCUCCUGGGAGAGGAGGCGGAGGAAGGUGAACCUAGGCAUUUGAGGCACAGCACAGAGACUCCAAGCUAGACACACAUAGGCCUGCAUCUUGGUCCUGCCUCGUCUGAGCUCUGGGCAGUUUUAGACAGGUCUUGGGAUUUUUCUCAAGUCUGAAUGCUCCCCCCCCCCCCCCCGACCCCGUAAGAGCUGCAACAACGUAUUAUUACAGAAAUACUCAUAACAAAGCCAGGUAGGUACAAUAGAUGUACCAGGUGGCUGGAAGGAACUGGGGGAGAAGAGAGCUUGUGUGUCCCCUCCCCCUUGGGCACCACCGGCAGGGACAGGGAGGAGAUAUUCUGCAACACCCAUGUUACACCUGCAAGGGGGUGCCUGUAUCUCUCCUUCGGGGAGCAAAUACCCCUCUAAUUCAGUAGGCGUGAGCUGUGGGCACAAGCCGUGAGGAUUGUUGGUAGGUUGGUGGCAGAGUGAGGGUUAAUCAGCGAGCCUUCCUGGGAACAUUUGGCUGCCAGGUUUUGCUCCCCUUCUUUCUGAGUCUCAGCAGUGUCUGCAUGCUUCCUGAAGCGGCUGAGUCCCGUGGGAGGGAGCUGGGCACCCUGACGACCCUCAUCACCAAUUGCGGGGCUGUGGAGUGGAGAGUGACGACAGCCAGUGAGUCCUCUGUCGACAGCCAUGGGGGCCCUGGUGACGGCUGCUUUGUUGUUUUUUUCCUCUUUGGAAGAUGACUCAGUGUAUCGGGAGCCGGGAGAUGGAGCUCUCAGCCGAGUGGCCAGAAUGUUCUGUCAACAUGAAAGCAGCAAAAACAGCUCGUGGGGCUCUGAGACGUUUUCCUUAGCCCGGGGUUCUUUUUCAGGGAGGGCUGGGCAGGGCAGGGCAGAAGACUGCUGUCAGGCCUUAGAAUGAGGGGGGGAGACACUAGGUAACUCAGCCAGGCCUCUAGGACCCAUGCAUUUGAGAGCUGGGAAAGAAAAGGCAGCUGGUGGUGUUAUUUAGUAAGCUUGGAAAACAGGGUCAUUUUUUAAAGCUCAUCUCGCUGGUCCUAAAUGUCAGACAUCUUCCCAGGGCCAGAAAAAAAACCCUUUGGGAUUUCUUACCCAGGAUCUUUCUAGGAUGGGCUUGGGGGGGGGGGGGGUCAUUCCGGGAAGAGGGGGUGGGGGUGGGAGGGGCCAAGCAGGCCUCAUUGAACAGCAACCCCGGGGGCUUCAGGACUAGGUGCCCACCGUGGGGUGUGCGCUUCAGGAGUUCUCUGUAGGGAGCUGAACGAUGGCCGACCACCUCACCCCUCCUAGGCUAAAGGCAGCCCUUGGGCAGGCUGUCGACCCUCCCAGCUCAGAGCUCGCAAUCUUCCCUUCAUCUUCCUCAUUCCCUCCUGAGGGGAAAUAAUGGACUUGGAGUUUUUGUCCUUUCCCCCCCCCCCUCCUUUCAUCAUGGCGGCGCAGGGUUCUAGGAUUUUCUUGAUCUGCAGCAUUGCGCUAUGGGCGCGUGAUUCCCCACCCCCACCCUGCCCUGCCCGCCCCGCCCUACGCACUGGGCCUGCCCGCCUGCCCUGCCCGCCUGCCCGCCAUGCCUUCUUGAGAACAAGAGACAAGAUGAACCUCUAUUGCCACUGAAUCCUGGCCCAACUGUGAUUCCCUUCCUCUUUGCCAUCUUCAGCAAAGUCGGGCUGAGGAGAAGACAGACAUCUUGUGUUUGGGGACGCAGGGACAAUGUGGCCUGGAAAGUGCUCUGCGCGCCAUGUUUCAGUCAGAUGGCUUUCGGUUUUACACAUUUCUUCUCUUGGAGUAAACCGCCUAUGCCCAAGGACCCUCCCAGAGUGACUCAUUUGCCCUUGGGAAGGCAGUGGAGAUGUGACCGCGGUCAUUGCAGGGAGGGAAUCAGGGCGUGUAGGCUGCCACCCACCCAGCACGCAAAGGGGGCCACGGCCCCCUUGAGCUGUAUCUUUUUGAGUAGAGAGCAGCUUGACCUAAAAAGGAUAAUCUUUACGGGAGUUGGAACCUUUGGGGUCAUCUUCAUUUGGCCCGAGCUAUCCACGUGAUAAGAAACUGGAUUUAAGCUUCAGAGACCUGGUGUUUCAGGGGUGGUUUUCUCAAGGAGGUGAUGGACAGGCCAUUCUCAAUCAGAGCCUGGCCUUGAUCCAAGAUGACAGGGCUACCUCAUUUUGUCUACUGUUCACUUUGUUUAUUCGGUUAAUGAUGUGGUGCUAGGGAACCCUAAAUGGGACCCCCAGGGUGUGUGUGCGUGAGGGUCUGUGCCGUCCACCUCAUUGUGCAGUUGGCUCCGUGAGCGGAGCCACCCUGCCUUUCUCUGUCUUCUUUCCCACACAGAACUUGGGAGACUGCAACUUAGUCCUGAGUGGGUAACAACCUCUUGGCAACUUCAACUCAGGCUCAGUUGAGGAUGAUAACUGUGUGUUCAAGACACUUAUCCUACGGCUGGGUGGAGAGAGAGAGAGAGAGAGAGAGAGAGAGAGAGAGAGAGAGAGACUGGUGCCUGGCAGCUCCGUGCUCUUCACAGUAAGUAUUUGCAUUCUCCUACAUUCUUUCAUUUCAUUGAACAUCGGAAGUGGAUAGAUGGGUCUCGUCCCCAGCUUCUCCAUUUUUCUCCCACACAACCUGCCCUUAGUCCUGCAGAAGAGAGAACUAGAUUGAUUUUUCUAGUGCCGCUGGAGAGCUGCAGAGAGACUGGAAUCCAGUGUUCAGCCUUCACACAUCCUCCGUAUAUCUGGGAGAAGUCAAUUUUUCCCUAAAAUGGAGUCAACAGCCUGUGUUCUCAGUGAGGAGUACUAAUGGGCUUCAUGGAAGGACCCUGCGUGCCCUCAGCUGCCCCCCAGCUGUGAGAUGCUUCGGAGACACCAGUUGUUUUGGUUCUGUGGCCCCAAAGUGUGCGCGGAGGUGGCAUGGUCCUGGUCUUGCCAGUGACUCCUCUUCAGGCUGCUUUGUGGAAGAUCAGAAGCAGCAAGGGAAAUGGGACCCAUCCUGCCUCCCAGGUGAGCGAAGUGCUCCUGUUCCCUCAGGCCUUCUCCAACAUUCUCCCCAUUCUUCAAGACCAUUUUCCUGCCUCAGUGGGGGAAUCCUCAAACUUCUCCAUUCAGAAUCUCAAACAAUUGCUUGCUUCUUUCCUUUCUCUUGGCUUUCCUGUGAAUGGGGUUAGUGAUCCCCACAGGGCCGGGGGAAGGGGUAGCCCGCUGAACUGACCAGGCUGUGAGGAACAUGGGAGAGAGCAGGCUAGUUUGCAGGGUGUGACAGUAGCAGAGCAGUUGGAUUCCCACAUAAGUGAGUGGAAGUUGUCCUUGGCCCGAGAUUAUUCUGGGUUUAAUUCUGUCAGUGGUUCUGGGCCGCCGCCUUGAGGCUUGAACAUUUUCUUCCUUGUCUAGUGUGACUUAUCCGUGAUGGGGUUUAGUGUAGGGCCGUGUGCGAGUUUGGAUGAGUUUGGAUGGGGCUGAACCUUUAGGGUUUCCUUUGAGUAAAUAAUUUUCUUCUAAGCCUUUUCUUCAUAUGCCUUUGCCUUAAAAAAAAAAAAAAAAAGGAGGACUUGGCCCAGAAAGUUAUUGCAGAGAACAUCUGAUGUAGAAAUGCUUUUUCUCUACUUCACUUGUUGCUGCCCACGGUAAUAGCUGUGGUGAUAAGCAGUGACAACGUCCUGCGGAACUAGUAGGUCUAUCUCGCUCUAGACAAAGUUCAGAAAGCUGACUGCAACGCUUGCAUGGCACCCGCAAAGCUCGCUCCCGUCAAGUCAAUUACAGCAAUGUUCUUGGCCGGUGCAGCCAGCUAGAGCCAGCUGGCGGCUGAUUGAUGGGUCUGGGGUCUAACAUGGAAAACAAAGUAGUGCUGGAUAAUGUGAUGAGGCACCUUUGUAAGGCCCCACCUCCAGCCUCGUUGUGAUGGCUACUCUUUCCUGGUGCCUCCUCAAUAUGUUUCCCCAUUCCCCCGCAUCACUUCUACCACUACUAGCCUAGGGAAAGCUGGCAAGUGCCACCUCGCCGUGCUUCAUCUUUUUCCUCCCCGUUAAAGAUGAGCCUCCUCUGAGUUGGCUGUGAGCGGCCUGAGAUCCUCGCCCAGUGAGGGAGGUGGGACAAGUCACUGUGUCUUCCCUCAAGGACCUCCAGCCCCUGCAGCAGGAGUGUUGAGGGAUGGCUCAGUGGGGUGGGGCUGGAAUGUGGAGAAAGAGGAGAGAUGGGCUGCUGAGGAGCUGAAGAAGAGCCAGCCAAGUUCCUCAAGAUGCGUCAGCCUGGGCUGGCCAGCACUAGCUCAGGGCUGGAGCCAGAUGUAACUGCUGGCUAUGCCUGAGCGCCUCGGCUCUCAGCUGUGGGGUGCAUUCCUGGUGACCACCUCUCCAGUGAACUGCCAUUCACAGCCCUGCCCGGCCCGAUGAGGAAAACCGGGGUGGAAUGUAGGGAAAUCGGUUUUGGCUCCUCGUCACUAAGUUGUCUCUGGCCCUUAGGGUUGAUGCUCCCCUGCUCAUUUCCCUCUUUCUAUCUCUUAGUCUAAUCGUUUGCUCCCAGCUCACCAGCCUAGCUUCUGAGGCAUGACAAGGGGGCAUUGUGUGCUGCCAGUCAGGCAAGCAGGACACUUGGUACCCUUAAGUGGGGGCCCAGCAAGCCUGGCCCUUUUUUUCUUGACCUGUGAGUCCCUGAGGUCUGACGAGAGCCAUAGGCAGCAUGGGUGGGGCCUGUCCAUGUGGCAUCCAGCGGAGGUUAGCAGAGCCUUUGGUGCUGGGGCCCAGGUGACGUGGCUUGGCUUGAAGUCAUGUAGGAGGGGCCCUGCCCCACGCCCUGAUUGGUCGGCACCUUCUCUGUUGCACUGAAUACGGGUCUUGUCCUGGCUGUGAAUUGUUUAACGCCUGGCUCAACUCUGUCCACCGGCUUGAGAGCAACCGAGGCUUCAGCAACAACUUUAGAGUAUUUUUGUACUUCCCACUGGCCACUUUCAGGGGCAUAGGGCCUCCCUCUCUCUGAGAUGUGUAAGAGCUAGGUAGCACCCGUCUCCCUCCAUCAGCCAGCUGCUAGUGGAAGGCUCUUGUUUGGCUCUUCCUUCUGGGACUUGCAGUGGCUGCGAAGACAGCAUAGCCUGGGUGUGGUUCUUUGCUCGCUUCUUCCAUAGCAGCUGUUGAUGAAGACAGAUCUCUGGGGCUCCGUGGUCUGCACGGACGGUGGUGCCGCAGGAUCAAGCACAAGUGGUAGCACAUGCGGGUGGGUCCCAGGAAGUGGAUCCCAGCAAGGCCGGAGGUAUGGGAGACAAAUCCCGUGCUCAGUCACAGCUGCGUGCUCUGGCCCUGGAUGACUGUGUGGUGCGUCCCCUGUGAAGGAUUUCCGGCUGAAUGCCUGGCCUUGCAGGCAGCAGCGUGGUGGCAGGUGAGGUCUGUAAUAAGGUAUGAAGGUAUGAGAUGGCAUCGAAGUUCUGGUCCCCAAGUGCCGUCCAGGUAAAAGGGAACUGACCUUUGUUAAGCACCCACCCCACCCCCUUUAUCUAAUUCUAUCUUUGGAACAACCAUGUGACUGAAGUAGGUGUUAUUUCUCUUUUAUGGUUAAAGGAACCAUGAGUAUUAAAUGACUUAACCAAGGUCAUACAAUGGCUGAGUGAAGUCAGUUGAGAUUUAAGUGCAAUGCUUCUCUGAUUUUAAAGCCUGUACAUUUUUUUUCCCCCUCACCCUGUGGGCUUAACUCAGAUUUUUUUUUUUAAUUUUUAAUUUUUUUUGGUGAGGUAAGGCCCUUGGAGACAGAAUGUGGACCUAGAGAAGGGCAGGCGCUAGGGACCUUUCCACAGUCUGGUGGGGCUGCGGCUCUCCACUUUGGAGGAGGCCGGUCAGGGCCCAGGCACCGGAAGUGUCUGGGGCAGAU